GUGCUCACUUCCGCAGCACUUAUACUAAAAUUGGAAUGCACAGAACACGAGCAAGGCCCCUGCACAAGGAUGACAUGCAAAUUCGUAAAGUGUUCCAUAUUUUU